CUGGCUCAGGACGAACGCUGGCGGCGUGCUUAACACAUGCAAGUCGAACGCUGAAGCACCAGCUUGCUGGUGUGGAUGAGUGGCGAACGGGUGAGUAAUACGUGAGUAACCUGCCCUUGACUCUGGGAUAAGCCCGGGAAACUGGGUCUAAUACUGGAUGCUACAUGUCACCGCAUGGUGGUGUGUGGAAAGGGUUUACUGGUCUUGGAUGGGCUCACGGCCUAUCAGCUUGUUGGUGAGGUAAUGGCUCACCAAGGCGACGACGGGUAGCCGGCCUGAGAGGGUGACCGGCCACACUGGGACUGAGACACGGCCCAGACUCCUACGGGAGGCAGCAGUGGGGAAUAUUGCACAAUGGGCGAAAGCCUGAUGCAGCGACGCCGCGUGAGGGAUGACGGCCUUCGGGUUGUAAACCUCUUUCAGCAGGGAAGAAGC
rnacentral:rRNA from 1 species